GACGAACGCUGGCGGCGUGCUUAACACAUGCAAGUCGAACGGAAAGGCCCUGCUUUUGUGGGGUGCUCGAGUGGCGAACGGGUGAGUAACACGUGAGUAACCUGCCCUUGACUUUGGGAUAACUUCAGGAAACUGGGGCUAAUACCGGAUAGGAGCUCCUGCUGCAUGGUGGGGGUUGGAAAGUUUCGGCGGUUGGGGAUGGACUCGCGGCUUAUCAGCUUGUUGGUGGGGUAGUGGCUUACCAAGGCUUUGACGGGUAGCCGGCCUGAGAGGGUGACCGGCCACAUUGGGACUGGGAUACGGCCCAGACUCCUACGGGAGGCAGCAGUGGGGAAUAUUGCACAAUGGGCGGAAGCCUGAUGCAGCAACGCCGCGUGCGGUAUGACGGCCUUCGGGUUGUAAACCGCUUUCGCCUGUGACGAAGCGUGAGUGACGGUAAUGGGUAAAGAAGCACCGGCUAACUACGUG
rnacentral:rRNA from 1 species